rnacentral:sRNA from 1 species
UGCUGGUUCGUCACCCGAGGAAUCCGAAUCGUUGCCAUCUCUUGAUGGCUUGAAAACGGGCCCAUCGUUGUUGUUAUCAGUGGCGCCGGGGACUGGAAGAGGUUUCAGGCCAAGAGCGAUUCGGAUCUUAUUAUUCUGCUCAAUAGACAGAGCAUCUGCCAUAACUGCUUAACGAAAAUCGAAAGAUACGCUUUUUUUCGGUGGGAUAUACAGACAAAACGUGACACAAAGAGAUAUCUAAUACAGCUUGUCAACUUUGACAACAAACCGUACAUCUCUUUAUACGAUACAAGUUCUCCCAACUCCGGAACUUCACCAAAAUCCGGUCCGAACCAAAACGAGUCUAGCGUCUCUCACACCACAAGCCACAAAAAAAAAAUAUCUUGAGAAUUUCCAUUUCUCUUCUCCUUUUUUCUCCCUCAUCACAACAAACCCAGAUCUGUGUCCAGCAGUCCUGAUCCAACCAGAGUAUUCGUGCUCUGGUUGUGUUUCGGUUGUUAUUGCUGGACAGCUCGACGAUUCAUGGAGCCAUCAAGGAUUACCCCUCAAAUGGUGUCAAUUUCCGGUCGACAGAUCUCAGAGAGAACCUCAGCGGCCCAGUUUUUCCUUUUUUGCCUUGUGUGAAAGGGAAUUUAACACUCUGCCUUGAGCUCCCUCCCCGUUUCGACGGGCUGGUGAAUUCGGUAAGGUGGCUGGGUUCCUUCUGAGGGCGUCAUAUUCCACCUCCCUUUACCGAUUUUGGUCCCUUUUCCAAUUACUUGGGGAAGGGAUUGUGGCCGUCGGCUGAUGAGGUUAGGGAAAAACCAUGACCUGCCAACAUAUAAUUAUUUAAUUCGACUGUUUAUUUCUGGCUAGCUCAUCUCGUUUGGGGGGAGGAUGUGAAGAAAGAGAGAUUGGCCCAAAACAUGCCAUCAGUUAUGAUAUUCGACGGAGCUUGAAGCGUAUUCAACAGAGCCUGCAAUCGGCCCCUCCAUACCAUUCUCUAUUUUUUCAAUUCUGUCUAUAACUGCAAAGGUAUCCCAUGUGCGAGGUGUGUCGUAAACAAUCAAUGAAAGAAACCCAUAGCUGUCAUCAAAUAACACGAAUGUGAAAACUCCUGUACACCAGACGGCCCCACGCCAUAUUCCUAUCUAAACAGAGCAAAGCACUCACAUGGAAAAUUGGGAAAAAUAGUAUGAAAAAUAAAAUAAAAUGUUACAGCAGCUUCAAUGACCCCGUAACCCCAUCCACAACUCCCUUAGGCCCCAAAAUCCCCAACACAGUCAGGCUGCCGCUGGCAACCUGCGUCCGGCCCGCGUCCUGAAUAACCUGCGCGCAAAGCCCCAAACUAACAGCCUGCGCCUGAAGCACCAGCAGUUCCUCCUCGCUCCUAACUUGCAGCGCGACUUUGGCUUGCCCGCCGCGCUCCCAGCGUUUGAGGAUAGGUGAGUCCGGUGCGCGCGUGAGGUAGUACUUGUAGCAGCCAAGAGUUGCGUGGGAGCAUUGAGCGGCGAUUUUCCCUGUUAGAAAAUAAUUUUUAAUUUUUUUUAUUAAUAAAUAUUUUUCCGGUUAAGUAUUGCAACGCGGGAGCAGUAGCAUUGAUUCAUAAGAGAAAUGGAAAAUAAAAGGGAAAAAAGAAAAAAAAAAGGGAAGGCGCAAAAGCAAAGAAGAAAACGAAACAGAAAAAAGAAAUCCAAGA